rnacentral:ribozyme from 1 species
AAGUCUGGAGGAUCUCACUCUACCGUCACUGCACAUCAUGGGCAGAGCCGAUACGAGUGUACUGGCCACCCAGAGUCUGAAACUCGCAUCGAGAUUCCACGAUCCCCAAUUG